rnacentral:rRNA from 1 species
CCGCCACUACAACGAGGCAGCAGGCACGCAAAUUACCCACUGAACGAAGUUCGAGGUAGUGACGAAAAAUAACGAUAGCGCACUCAUCCGAGGCCCGCUAAUUGGAAUGAGUACACUUUAAAACCGUCCCCGAGGAUCUAUUGGAGGGCAAGUUUGGUGCCAGCAGCCGCGGUAAUUCCAGCUCCAAUAGCGUAUAUUAAAGUUGUUGUGGUUAAAAAGCUCGUAGUUGGAUCUCAACAGCUCUGGGUCGGUUAGCUUUGUGUUAUACUGAUCUAUGAGUUGUGCUUUUGCUGGAGGUUUAGGGGUGCUCUUAAUCGAGUGUCUCUGGAUGCCAGCAGGUUUACUUUGAAAAAAUUAGAGUGUUCAAAGCAGGCUGUUAUGCCUGAAUAUUCGUGCAUGGAAUAAUAGAAUAGGAUGUCGAUCUUAUUUUGUUGGUUUUCGAGACUCGACAUAAUGAUUAAUAGGGACAGUCGGGGGCAUUUGUAUUCAAACGCUAGAGGUGAAAUUCUUGGACCGUUUGAAGACAAACUACUGCGAAAGCAUUUGCCAAGAAUGUUUUCAUUAAUCAAGAACGAAAGUUAGAGGUUCGAAGGCGAUUAGAUACCGCCCUAGUUCUAACCAUAAACGAUGCCAGCUAGCGAUCUGCUGACGUUUUUACUGUAGACUCAGCAGGAAGCUUCCGGGAAACCAAAGCAUUUGGGUUCCAGGGGAAGUAUGGUUGCAAAGCUGAAACUUAAAGGAAUUGACGGAAGGGCACCACCAGGAGUGGAGCCUGUGGCUUAAUUUGACUCAACACGGGAAAUCUCACCAGGCCCGGACACUGGAAGGAUUGACAGAUUGAUAGCUCUUUCUUGAUUCGGUGGGUGGUGGUGCAUGGCCGUUCUUAGUUGGUGGAGUGAUUUGUCUGGUUAAUUCCGAUAACGAACGAGACUCUGUCCUGCUAAAUAGUGUCAUCUUCUCUUUUGAGAUGACAAUUCUUCUUAGAGGGACUGGGCACUCUUAGUGCCACGAGAUUGAGCAAUAACAGGUCUGUGAUGCCCUUAGAUGUUCUGGGCCGCACACGCGCUACACCGAAUAAAUCAGCGUGUCACCCUUUCUGAAAAGAACGGGUAAACCGCUGAACCUUAUUCGUGGUAGGGAUCGGGGCUUGCAAUUAUUCCCCGUGAACCAGGAAUUCCCAGUAGGCACAGGUCAUAAGCCUGUGUCGAUUACGUCCCUGCCCUUUGUACACACCGCCCGUCGCUACUACCGAUUGAACGUUUUAGUGAGGUCCUCUGGAUUGUGUUUCAUUUGGCUCACUGCUGACUGAUUGCGAAAAGACGACCAAACUGAAAGCGUAAGA